AUACGUAGGUGGCGAGCGUUGUCCGGAAUUACUGGGUGUAAAGGGCGUGUAGGCGGGGAUGCAAGUCAGGUGUGAAAUACCACGGCUCAACUGUGGGGGUGCAUCUGAAACUGCAUUUCUUGAGUGCUGGAGAGGAAAGCGGAAUUCCUAGUGUAGCGGUGAAAUGCGUAGAUAUUAGGAGGAACACCAGUGGCGAAUGCGGCUUUCUGGACAGCAACUGACGCUGAGGCGCGAAAGCGUGGGGAGCAAACAGGAUUAGAUACCCUGGUAGUCCACGCUGUAAACGAUGGAUACUAGGUGUAGGAGGUAUCGACCCCUUCUGUGCCGGAGUUAACACAAUAAGUAUCCCACCUGGGGAGUACGGCCGCAAGGCUGAA
rnacentral:rRNA from 1 species